AACCUAGCACACCUGCGGUGUGUACCUGCGGAGGGAUCAUUAACGAGUUACCACUCUAUAACCCUUUGUGAACAUACCUACAUGUUGCUUCGGCGGUCGGCCCCCCCGGGCCCCGGCCCCGCUCACGCGGGGCGUCCGCCGGAGGAUAACCAAACUCUGAUUUAACGACGUUUCUUCUGAGUGGCACAAGCAAAUAAUCAAAACUUUCAGCAACGGAUCU
rnacentral:misc_RNA from 1 species